rnacentral:rRNA from 1 species
CGGGGGCGGUCAUCGCUCAUAGCGUAUAUUAAAGUUGUUGCAGUUAAAAAGCUCGUAGUUGAAUUUCGGGAUUUGUCAGUUGGUCGGGCUUCACUGUCCGUACUGAUUCGAUGGAUUCUUACCUUCUGAAUAACCAGCAUGCUAUUAAGUUAGUGCGUUGGGGAAGCAGAUCUAUUACCUUGAAAAAAUUAGAGUGCUUAAAGCGGGCUAGUGCUUGAAUAGAUUAGCAUGGAAUAAUAAAAUAGGACGGCAUGGUUCUAUUUUGUUGGUUUCUAGGAUCACCGUAAUGAUUAAUAGGGAUAGUUGGGGGCAUUAGUAUUCAAUUGUCAGAGGUGAAAUUCUUGGAUUUAUUGAAGACUAACUUCUGCGAAAGCAUUUGCCAAGGAUGUUUUCAUUAAUCAAGAACGAAAGUUAGGGGAUCGAAGACGAUCAGAUACCGUCGUAGUCUUAACCAUAAACUAUGCCGACUAGGAAUCGGACGAAGUUAAUUUUAUAAUGACUCGUUCGGCACCUUACGGGAAACCAAGUGUUUUGGGGGUUCCACAUUUAACGU